rnacentral:misc_RNA from 1 species
GAUGAAGAACGUAGCGAAAUGCGAUAAUUAAUGUGAAUUGCAGAAUUCCGUGAAUCAUCGAGUCUUUGAACGCACAUUGCGCCCCCUGGUAUUCCGGGGGGCAUGCCUGUCCGAGCGUCAUUGCUGCCCUCAAGCACGGCUUGUGUGUUGGGCCUCCGUCCUCCUCCCGGGGGACGGGCCCGAAAGGCAGCGGCGGCACCGCGUCCGGUCCUCGAGCGUAUGGGGCUUCGUCACCCGCUCUUGUAGGCCCGGCCGGCGCUUGCCGACACAUCAAUCUUUUUUCCAGGUUGACCUCGGAUCAGGUAGGGAUACCCGCUGAACUUAAGCAUAUCAAUAAGCGGAGGA